rnacentral:lncRNA from 1 species
ACAAAUCAAGGACAGCCAAAAAUCAAUCAAAAACAAAAACUCUUAAAGUCACAACUGACAAACUCAAAAUGAUCAUUUGAUGUCACAAACCUUCAAACACUAAAGCAACUAAAGCUCAUUGAGCCACAAGAAACAAGUGAGUUAGAACUCAAAAACCUUUGAUUUUCAGUUCGGUUCAGAGAAAUAGUUCUACAAAACGAGAUUACUCUUGUUACAAAUUUGGUUCAGCAUAAAGCCAAAUCAAGCAGAGUCAGGG